GACGAACGCUGGCGGCGUGCUUAACACAUGCAAGUCGAGCGGAAAGGCCCUGCUUUUGUGGGGUGCUCGAGUGGCGAACGGGUGAGUAACACGUGAGUAACCUGCCCUUGACUUUGGGAUAACUUCAGGAAACUGGGGCUAAUACCGGAUAGGAGCUCCUGCUGCAUGGUGGGGGUUGGAAAGUUUCGGCGGUUGGGGAUGGACUCGCGGCUUAUCAGCUUGUUGGUGGGGUAGUGGCUUACCAAGGCUUUGACGGGUAGCCGGCCUGAGAGGGUGACCGGCCACAUUGGGACUGAGAUACGGCCCAGACUCCUACGGGAGGCAGCAGUGGGGAAUAUUGCACAAUGGGCGGAAGCCUGAUGCAGCAACGCCGCGUGCGGGAUGACGGCCUUCGGGUUGUAAACCGCUUUCGCCUGUGACGAAGCGUGAGUGACGGUAAUGGGUAAAGAGGCACCGGCUAACUACGUG
rnacentral:rRNA from 1 species